AGCAGUCGCCACGGUAAUGCGUAGGGUGCGAGCGUUAAUCGGAAUUACUGGGCGUAAAGCGUGCGCGGGCGGUUGUGUAAGACAGGUGUGAAAUCCCCGGGCUUAACCUGGGAACUGCGCUUGUGACUGCACAGCUAGAGUAUGGCAGAGGGGGGUGGAAUUCCACGUGUAGCAGUGAAAUGCGUAGAGACGUGGAGGAACACCGAUGGCGAAGGCAGCCCCCUGGGCCAAUACUGACGCUCAUGCACGAAAGCGUGGGGAGCAAACAGGAUUAGAUACCCCUGUAGUCCCUGUCUCUUAUAC
rnacentral:rRNA from 1 species